CCUACGGGAGGCAGCAGUGAGGAAUAUUGGUCAAUGGUCGGGAGACUGAACCAGCCAAGCCGCGUGAGGGAUGAAGGUACAGAGUAUCGUAAACCUCUUUUGUCAGGGAACAAAGGCGGGGACGUGUCCCCGGAUGAGUGUACCUGAAGAAAAAGCAUCGGCUAACUCCGUGCCAGCAGCCGCGGUAAUACGGAGGAUGCGAGCGUUAUCCGGUUUUAUUGGGUUUAAAGGGUGCGAAGGCGGGCGGUUAAGUCCGCGGUCAACGCCGGGGGCCCAACCCCGGCCCGCCGUUGAAACUGGCAGUCUCGAGUUGGAGAGAAGUAUGCGGAAUGCGCGGUGUAGCGGUGAAAUGCAUAGAUAUCGCGCAGAACUCCGAUUGCGAGGCAGCAUGCCGGCUCCACACUGACGCUGAGGCACGAAAGCGUGGGUAUCGAACAGGAUUAGAUACCCGGGUAGUC
rnacentral:rRNA from 1 species